UGCCCUUUAAGUAUCUUGGCCUGAAGUGGAAGGAGAUAAACAGGGAACUGAAAAGUAGAUGGUAAUCUGGCAGGAAAAAGAUAAUUUGGAUCGUAUUUCUUACACACCUUUUCCCCUCAUGGCCUCCUGACAAUACACACCACCAGUUGCUACCUCGACUUUGGACCCAGUACACGCAUGGCACUUAAAGACCACUAUAGUCAACAUAUAAAAGCAAGAAAGACAGGUCCCCUAGCCUUGAUUUUAUAUUAAUUUCCCCUUAAUAAAAAAGAGUCCUUAUUAUAGCUAAAACUUACCUCUGUUCCAGCACAGAGCUCCUCGGCAGGCUAUACCCCCGUUUUUGUCAAAAUGACGAAAUAGCAGGGCUCAGACGCUUCUCUUGGAGAAGAGCCAUAGUGAUCUGGUGUGCAUGCGCAGCUU